AUAACGGUCCUAAGGUAGCGAAAUUCCUUGUCGGCUAAAUACUGACCUGCACGAAAGGCAUAAUGAUCUCUCAACUGUCUCAACACUAGACUCGGUGAAAUUAUGGUCCCAGUGAAAACGCUGGGUUCCCGCAUCAAGACGAAAAGACCCCAUGGAGCUUUACUAUAACUUCGUAUUGGAAUUUGGCCUAACAUGUGUAGGAUAGGUGGGAGACUUUGAAGCUGAGACGCCAGUAGCAGUGGAG
rnacentral:rRNA from 1 species